GAAAUGAAAAGAAAAAAUGGAGAUAAGAGGUUUUCACCUCUCUGUAAAAGAAAAAAAAAAAGAAAAAAAGAAAAGAAGUCUGUAGAGAGAAAGAGAAGAAACCAAUGACAGAACGAUGAAGGGAAAGUUCACCUCACCCGAAGUGCCGGAAGCCGCCGGAGAAGGUGGUGAACGCCGAAAUUUGAGGGUAGAAGUUGUUAAGAGGAAGAAAUUCAAGCCAACCUUCAUGGAUGGUGUGCUAUUAAGAUGGCUUGAAUGAAGAGGAAUAAACAAGGAAUUCAAAAGAUUUGAGCCCAAAAACAUAAUUGGAUAUACGGGAAUCGAAGGAACUAGAAAUUCGAGGAGAAGCCGGUUAACUGUAGCGAUCAAGUUCCUGGUGCCUACUGAGCCGUCAAACACCACUAGUGCUGUUAAACAUCUGUUGUAUUGUUUGUGCAUAUAUUUAAGAGUAUUCCAAAAUAGUUAAAAUUUGUGAGUUACAUGUCAAAGGAGGUUUU